GAUUAACGCUGGCGGCGUGCCUAACACAUGCAAGUCGAACGAGGUAGCAAUACCUAGUGGCAGACGGGUGAGUAACGCGUGGUCAACCUACCGUUGAGUGGGGGAUAACUAGCCGAAAGGUUAGCUAAUACCGCAUACGUCUCCGAGUGGCAUCACUUGGCGAUAAAAGGAGCAAUCCGCUCGAUGACGGGACCGCGUCCCAUUAGCUAGAUGGUGGGGUAACGGCCUACCANGGCACCGAUGGGUAGCUGGUUUGAGAGAGCGACCAGCCACACUGGGACUGAGAAACGGCCCAGACUCCUACGGGAGGCAGCAGUGAGGAAUUUCCGCAAUGGGCGCAAGCCUGACGGAGCGACGCCGCGUGUGGGAAGAAGGCCUUC
rnacentral:rRNA from 1 species